UAUGCACGCUGGCGGCGUGCCUAAUACAUGCAAGUCGAGCGAACAGACGAGGAGCUUGCUCCUCUGACGUUAGCGGCGGACGGGUGAGUAACACGUGGAUAACCUACCUAUAAGACUGGGAUAACUUCGGGAAACCGGAGCUAAUACCGGAUAAUAUAUUGAACCGCAUGGUUCAAUAGUGAAAGACGGUUUUGCUGUCACUUAUAGAUGGAUCCGCGCCGCAUUAGCUAGUUGGUAAGGUAACGGCUUACCAAGGCAACGAUGCGUAGCCGACCUGAGAGGGUGAUCGGCCACACUGGAACUGAGACACGGUCCAGACUCCUACGGGAGGCAGCAGUAGGGAAUCUUCCGCAAUGGGCGAAAGCCUGACGUAGCAACGCCGCGUGAGUGAUGAAGGUCUUCGGAUCGUAAAACUCUGUUAUUAGGGAAGAACAAAUGUGUAAGUAACUAUGCACGUCUUGACGGUACCUAAUCAGAAAGCCACGGCUAACUACGUG
rnacentral:rRNA from 1 species